GGGGGGGGGGGGGGGGGGGGGGGGGGGGUGGGGGGCGGGCGCCCCGGGGGGGGUGGGGCAGGCGGGUGGGUGGCGCGUGGGGAGGGCCGCUUCUCUUCGGGCUGGCGGCGGGAAACUGGAAUUAAUACCGAGUGUGCCCCUUGGGGGCACGGUUUGUCGGAUAAGGAUCGGCCCGCCGUGGCUUAGCUAGUUGGUGGGGUAGAGGCGUACCAAGGCGACGUCCCGUAGCUGGUCUGGGAGGAUGAUCCGCCACAUUGGGCCUGGGACACGGCCCAAACGCCUACGGGAGGCAGCAGUGGCGAAUAUUGGACGAUGCGCGCAAGCCUGAUCCAGCCAUGCCGCGUGAGUGAUGAAGGCCUUAGGGUUGUAAAGCUCUGUCACCGGAGAAGAUAAUGACGGUAUCCGGAGAAGAAGCCCCGGCGAACUUCGUG
rnacentral:rRNA from 1 species